rnacentral:snRNA from 1 species
GUGCUCAUUCAGCAGCACAUAGAAAUUGGGAUGGUACAGAGAAGGUCAGCAUGGCCCCUGAACAAGGAUGACACAAAUUUGUGAAAUAUUCCAUAUUAUG